UCUGCGCGCCUUGCUUCAGGUGCCCUGAAUCGCCGCCAGCGGCGGUCGAGAGGGUGAAACAGGGAAGCCGGUUCCAAUGCCGGCGCUGCCCCCGCAACGGUAGGUGAGUCGUACGCCGCCAUAGGCCACUGUGCAGUGCACGGGAAGGCGCGGCGUUGAACCUUUGGUUCGCUCACGAGCCCGGAGACCGGCCUGUCGCAGUUUCACGGCA
rnacentral:ncRNA from 1 species